UCGACUAGGAGCAGAAGUACGACGAAACCCUUUAGGCAAGCAGUUCUCGACACCCUGGUGAACUUUAUCACCUCCCAACUUGGGCUUGAAUGCUACGUAUCCUCGACUUCUUUUUUCAGCCAAAUGUCUUGUAGCACCACAAACCCUAGAAAAAAUGGCGCUCGGUCCGUUAAUGACAAGCAUUGGAGGGGAUAAGAGGAGGAAAAGAUGCAGCAUUGUUGUGAAGAAAAU
rnacentral:lncRNA from 1 species